ACGGUAUGUACAGAAUUUACGUGUCCCAAUGCAUAAAGACAGAUAAGAAGAAGAAUACGUGUACACGCACCUACGGUGGCGGUGUUGAACGUGGAGACGCCGGGCGUGUCGGCGUUGCGGUCCCCCGUGAUGACCGUCUUCCCCAUGCCGUCGCCGACGAGCACCAGACUCAGAGUGUAGCCACGUGAAAUUGGAGUUCUACUUCUGCCGCAGGGAGGCACGGAGCUUUCUUCGUACGGGAUAACGACAGUUUGGCACAGCUGCUGGAAUGGAAACAUGUGUUUUUCUGGCCUUUGCUGCUCACUUCCGGGGGCAUGGACGCAUGUCGCGGCGUCACGCAUGGUUCACGGCAUGGGUUCACAGUGGAGAGGUCGGCGGCGAGCGGGCCAGUAUCCACUGAACCGAAAAGUGGCCAGGCACCAACGCAACUAAACUUCAAGAGUACCUGCCCUUGUACAAUGUACAUGCCACAGAUGUUAACUUUUGGACAAGCUGUCAAUGUUCAGCAAAAAUAUUAGAUUUUGCACGUAAGGUACUUUACAGAAGGGUAAAUGGAUCUGCGGAUCUGCGCAAGUGUUCAGUUUAAUCUGAAUGAUGCACAAACAAAUGGCAGCAGACAGACAGUAUUCAUGCUUGCGUAAUGAAUUUCCAAAAUUGCAUGUAAA